AAGAAAUUAGUUUAAUAUAUAAAACAUUAACUCGUCAAGUUUAAAUUACUUAAAAGUAUUUCUUU